GGUGACAAACAUGCAAGUCGAGCGAUGAACCCCUUCGGGGGUGGAUUAGCGGCGGACGGGUGAGUAACACGUGGGUAACCUGCCUCAAAGUGGGGGAUAGCCUUCCGAAAGGAAGAUUAAUACCGCAUAAAGCCAAGUUUCACAUGGAAUUUGGAUGAAAGGAGUAAUUCGCUUUGAGAUGGACCCGCGGCGCAUUAGUUAGUUGGUGGGGUAAUGGCCUACCAAGACAGCGAUGCGUAGCCGACCUGAGAGGGUGAUCGGCCACAUUGGAACUGAGAUACGGUCCAGACUCCUACGGGAGGCAGCAGUGGGGAAUAUUGCACAAUGGGCGAAAGCCUGAUGCAGCAACGCCGCGUGAGUGAUGAAGGUCUUCGGAUUGUAAAGCUCUGUCUUUUGGGACGAUAAUGACGGUACCAAAGGAGGAAGCCACGGCUAACUACGUGCCAGCAGCCGCGGUAAUACGUAGGUGGCGAGCGUUGUCCGGAUUUACUGGGCGUAAAGGGUGCGUAGGCGGAUGUUUAAGUGAGAUGUGAAAUACCCGGGCUUAACUUGGGUGCUGCAUUUCAAACUGGAUAUCUAGAGUGCAGGAGAGGAGAAUGGAAUUCCUAGUGUAGCGGUGAAAUGCGUAGAGAUUAGGAAGAACACCAGUGGCGAAGGCGAUUCUCUGGACUGUAACUGACGCUGAGGCACGAAAGCGUGGGUAGCAAACAGGAUUAGAUACCCUGGUAGUCCACGCCGUAAACGAUGAGUACUAGGUGUAGGAGGUAUCGACCCCUUCUGUGCCGCAGUAAACACAUUAAGUACUCCGCCUGGGAAGUACGAUCGCAAGAUUAAAACUCAAAGGAAUUGACGGGGGCCCGCACAAGCAGCGGAGCAUGUGGUUUAAUUCGAAGCAACGCGAAGAACCUUACCUGGACUUGACA
rnacentral:rRNA from 1 species